UCACUUUCGAACUUUUUAUCGUUUAUAUUUUUAGCUUGGGUCAUCUACAAGCAGCAGAGCCUUCGAAUACACGGGCUUCUCAAGGGGUCAGCGUGAUCUUGGUUUAGGGAAGAAUACUUCUCUACUUCAUCUGGUCUGGGUGGCGUUUGCUUCACUUCUGAGUAAUUUGGUUGCAUAGAUGACCCAGUUUGUACUCUUCGCUGUGAAUGCUCAGUAUCAAGAAAUCACUUUUAUUCAGCAGCAUGACAAAGCGAGGGUCUUGGCUUCGAUUCCGGCUCUACGACCCAACACGACCUCUUCGGGAUAGGCAUCUGGGGAGUUAAUUCGUCAGGAACGCCCUGGUCCCUGCAUCUGUUGUUGGCCUUUGAGGGAAAAGAUCAAUUUUCGCCACCUAUGACUGAAAGUCAUAUUCCUGAGUGUCCCAAUUGUUGAGAAAAGAAGAAUAAACUGAAGUUAUGCAAACUCUGAGCACAAUCAGUUCUGUUCAUGAUAAGUUGCAAGAUAUAUGCUCAUUUCAGUUGUGAGUUCUUUUCCUGGAUGACAUGAUUUUGCAAGAAAAUUUUGAAUAUCCAACUAGUUCUAGCAAUCCAUCCCUCUCCCGAAGGAAAAUUGAUGGAUGAACUCAAGACUCUGCAGCUCAUAUUUCCAAUUCAAGAGUUUUUUGGCCUUCCUUACCUCAAUUGUUGGGACUAUCAUCCUGAAUAUUGGCAUCGUGCUCAGCGGAUUUAAUGGGAAAAUUACCAAAGAAGUCUUAAA